UUUCUACUCCCUCCGUCUGAAACUACUUGUCAUCAAAAUGGAUAAAAAGAGAUGUAUCUAAAACUAAAAUACGUCUAGAUACACUUCCUUUUAUCCAUUUUGAUGACAAGUAUUUCCGGACGGAGGGAGUAUUUG
rfam:Triticum urartu cultivar G1812 contig539692, whole genome shotgun sequence.